rnacentral:rRNA from 1 species
CGUGCAGGCGGGUGAUUAAGUCUGAUGUGAAAGCCCGGGGCUCAACCCCGGAAGAGCAUUGGAAACUGGUCGUCUUGAGUUUCGGAGAGGAAGGGGGAAUUCCCGGUGUAGAGGUGAAAUUCGUAGAGAUCGGGAGGAAUACCAGUGGCGAAGGCGCCCUUCUGGACGACAACUGACGCUGAGACGCGAAAGCGUGGGGAGCAAACAGGAUUAGAUACCCCGGUAGUCCACGCUGUAAACGAUGAUCACUGGGUGUAGCGGGUAAUCAUUCCUGCUGUGCCGCAGCUAACGCGUUAAGUGAUCCGCCUGGGGAUUACGGUCGCAAGACUAAA